CAACAACUUUUUUUGUUGUUGGUUUCGUGGGUGUUGAGAGAAGCAAACGGCGCAAUGUGAAUUUGUGUAAACAAAAUCGUUGAUAAGAUAUUCGCACGGAAAUUACUCGAGACUCGCGCGACAUUUUCGCCGUUGGCAAGCCCAGAAAAAUUGCUUUAUCGAGUGGCUAUUUUGAGCCAGGCUUCAGUUCUUGCGCGCGUGUGUGUGUGUGUAUGUGUUUUAGGCCCUUGAGCGAAGCCCGAAAAAAAAGAAGUUUUUCUGUUACCAUAUAUUUUACCAAGGGCCAAAGGGCGCAGCAUCUCUGCUCUCUAUCUUUCUCUCUCUCUUUUGACCGUUAACGUGGGUUUUGCAACUCCAGUUAUUGUGUUAACAGCAGGUGAAAAAUAGAAACAUAAAAAAACAGCAAGGAGAGUGGGGAGAAAGAACCGAGAAGAAGCAGCAAAGCAGAACAACAAAAGUGACGCAUAUAUAAAGGUUGCUAAUUACAAAAGCCAAAUCGUUGUAGCUAGCAUCAGAAUGGAGCUGGAGCCGCGUGUGGCCAUCCUGCAGGACCUGCGUCUGCAGACCUUCGACUCCAUUCGAUUCGCCUCCUACCGCACAGCCUCCAAGCUGCGCUACAUUCAGAAGUCGACGAACCUCCAUUUGGUGGACAUAUGGAAUGUUAUCGAGGCGUUCCGCGAAAAUGGCCUGAACACCCUGGAGCCGCAGAGCGAGGUGAGCGUGGCCAGGCUGGAAACCCUGGUCUCCUCGCUCUACCACAACCUCAACAAGCGCCUGCCCACCGCCCAGCAGGUGCCCGUGGACUCCAAAGCGGGUCUGCUGCUCAACUGGCUGCUGGCUGCCUACACAAGUGAUAACUCGGGCAAGAUACGCGUGUUCUCCAUCAAGGUGGCCCUGGCCACCAUGUGCUCCGGCAAACUGGUGGACAAACUCAGAUACAUAUUCUCCCAGAUCUCGGACGGCGCUGGCCAGCUGGUGGCCUGGAAGCUGGGCGAGUUCUUGCGCGAAGUGCUGGCCCUGCCGGCGGCCGUGUACGAGUCGCCCACAUUCCACUACAAGGAGGGGCUCGAGGAGGAGAUCUUCCCGGCCGAGAACAAGGUGACGGUGAACGACUUUAUGGCCACGCUGAUGUCCGAGCCGGGGCCGUCCUGCCUCGUCUGGCUGCCGCUGGUGCACCGGCUGGCCACCGUGGAGACCAUUGUGCAUCCGACUGUCUGCUCUGUUUGCCACAAGGAAAACUUCACCGGGUUUCGUUAUCGCUGUCAGCGGUGUCACGCCUACCAGUUGUGUCAGGAGUGCUUCUGGCACGGCAAGACAUCGCUGAACCACCAGAACGAUCACGAGGUCAAGGAGUACUCGAGCUACAAGUCGCCCAGCAAACAGAUCGGCCACUCGCUGCGCAAGAGCUUCCGCUGUGUGCCCGAGAAGACGGUGCAGGUGCUCCCGCGCUUUCCCGACCAGCCGGAGAAGACGCUCAACCUGUCGCACAUCGUGCCGCCCUCGCCGCUGCCCUCGCACAACGGCUUCUCGGACCCCUCGGGCCUCGUACAUGGCCACCACGGCCCCCCGCAUCCGCAUCCGGGCAUUCCGGGCAUACCGGGCCAGCACCACGGCCUAUUCGAUCGCUCCAGCACGCUCGACUCGCGGGCCACUGGCCGCAGUCUGGACAGCGCCAGCGGCACCGCCGGCACCACCACCAUGUCCCGCGUGGCCGCCGCAUCUGCCAACGACGAGGAGCACCGCCUGAUCGCCCGCUAUGCCGCCAGAUUGGCCCAGGAGAACAGAGCGCCCUCCAACUUGCCCGACAGUGGCACCCCCAUUGGCACGGAUAACUCGCGAGCCCAGCGCGAGCUGAUUGCCCAGCUGGAGUCCAAGAACAAGGAGAUCAUGCGGGAGAUAGCGCGUCUGAGGCGUCAGCAGGAGACGGAGCAGAUGGCCCCGGAGAAUCCGGCGCUGAUCAACGAGCUGCGGGCCCUGAGGCAGCGGAAGGGAGAGCUGGAGGGUCACCUGGGCGCCCUGCAGGACUCGCGACGCCAGCUGAUGGAGCAGCUAGAGGGGCUGAUGCGCAUGCUGAAGAACCAGCAGACCGCUUCGCCCCGCUCCACUCCCAACUCGAGUCCUCGCUCCGGCAAGUCGCCACCCAUGCCCGGCGGAGCUGGCAUCCUGGGCACCUCCCCCAUGAGUGCCCUGCACGCCCAGCAGAUGCAGCAGCAUCCCAUCGUCGGCGGGGGAGGAGGAGGAGGAGGUGGUGGUGGAGUCAGGGCCACCCAGCAGCAACUCCUCCAACAGCAACAGCAGCAGCAGGCACAUGGACACGGUCCGUUCAGCCAGAGCCAGUUGGAGCAGCUCAACCAGAUCAGCAGCGAUAUGCGCAGCGCCUUCGCCGCCAACGGAAGUGCAACGCCACCGCCAAUGCGCACCACCACUGUCAAUGCCAUUUCCAGCCUCAAUCCGAUUCAGAACCCGAAUCUGAGUCUGAAUCCGAAUCCGAAUCCCGAUGCGGAGCUCAAUGAGGCCGCCGACCAUCUAACGUCGGCCAUUUCCCACAUGGUCAGCGACCUGAAUGCAGGAAGGGGAAGGGCCUACCAGGGUCCCCAGCAGCCGACGAGCACACUGCCGCAGGCUCGCUUCAUCAUGCCACUGGAAUUCCGACACAUCGAGGGUGGCGAGUCUGAAGGCUCGAGUCAGUGCGAGUGCAACGAUUGCGAGUGCGGGGAGUACGAGGAGGUGUUCCGCACCGACGAGGAUCUUGAGUGCGAGGGAGCUGCCGCUCCCUAUCCCUGUGGCCAAUUGUACACCACUGGCCCCUCCGAGGAGGACCACUUUGAUUACACAUUCGGCCAGGGCGAGGAACUGUCGCAGGUUAACCGCAUUCUGGGCUACCGAAAUCACCCGGAACUGUUCAUCGAUGAUGACCAGGCCGGCUUUCCGGCACUGCACGAGAUCGGUGAGACAAUCGAUGAACUGCAGCUGAUCAUGCACGCUUAUAUCAUGAAGUAUAGUCUGAAUAUAUAAUGUGUUCGUCAUAGGUUACCAAUAUAUACUCUCCGAUCAGGUAAAAUAUGCCAAAUCUACUGCCUCUAGACCAUUUUAGCUCGCUCGACUCAUGACUCUCCACUCCACUCCACUCUUCAACGCAGGUAGAUCUCUAGUCGGGGUUCUAUCUAUAUAGUUAUCAGUAAUCUCUAUAUAUAUCUAUAGCUCAUCAUCAUCGCUGCACUGCCGAAUCGUCUCUCUCUAUUUCGCAAUCUCAAUCUCAGUCAGUCCAUCCUAGUUAGUCUCUAGAUUCACGUUGGCUGCUUGACUCAAACGGAUUCGAAUAAAUUAUUUCGACGAAUCUCAAUCGUAUAACCAAGAGUGGAACGAAAAGGCAAAUGCGAAUAGCCAAUGGCAGGAGCAGUUUGCACAAUGGAGUCUUAAUUCGCAAAAGAACUAGGACCUGAAUACCGCAGGACUGGGAAUUUCCGGAGGCAGCUGAACAGAUGAACAGAACAGAAGACGAACUCUCGCUUAGCUUUUUACCUUACCUUACUUUACCUUAACUGAUAUGUUGACCUAGAGCAAUUUAUUUAUUGAUUAUUUUAUUGAGCCGUAGCCUACACUACCUUAAUCAUUAUAAUUUAAACUUUGAGGAUUGGCAUCUACCCAGUAAUAUGUAUGUAAGCAUACAUAAAUAUGAAAAAUUAUAUGGAUAUUGAAGCAAGGUAUACCUAAAUGUGUCUGAUAAAAAAGACUUGCAGUUGCACUGCUCUUCGAAGUCGCAAAUCCAUUGAAUCUCGUUUAAACUUUUACGAUCGCACUGCUAGGAAGGGGCAAUUAGAGAUAUGGCGAUUUUAAUUUAGGUUUCUACAAUUUCGUAAUUGGCUUUUAGAUUUUUUAAGAGCCCGCCCCAGCAGCUAUUUAUUACCAUGAAACUUAACAAAUUGAAAAUCAAAUCACGUAAUGCGUAAUACAAAUACGAUAUAGACAUUUACAUAUUAUGUACUUAAUAACUAGCAACUUGUUGAGAACCUAAAAUCAAAUUCUAAAUGCUUAACAUUAUACACCUUGAGAUACGAUAAAGCCGACAACUAUUUGAGCCACACACAAAAACCCAAUGUUAAACACUAAAAUGAAGAACUAAACACGAUUUAUAUAUAUUAUCCAUUAUAAUAUGCAUUCAUACAAGAAAAGUUAUACCAUAUAAUCGUAUUGGCAUAGAGCACGAGAUAGAGAAAAUCCGACAUUUAUAGAACUUAUACAUAACUACUGAAUAACAUUACGAAAGAGAAAACUAAAUAAAAAGGCAUUUUAAACAAUCACAAA